CUUGUCCCCCUCCUCGGCCCUACCAAUUAAUAUCCUUUCCUUUUUUCUUUAUAGGCUUCGAUAAAUGGAGAGGGAAGAGCUCAGAUCUUCCUCUGGGGUUUUGGUUUCAUCCUACCUGAGAAAGAGUUGCCUGGCCAUACUUGCAUCUACAAGGCAAUCCAUAGUGGAUCUCUGAGGGUUGGUGUGAAGAAAGCUCUUGUGUUCUACAACGGUCGUCCACCAAAAGUUGUCUAGAUUGAUUGGAUCAUGCAUGAAUACCCGGUUGGGUGAUUCAAGCCGGCGGCCUAACAAGCUGGUUUGGUCCAUGAGGAGAGACAGUCCUUGGAUCCAAAACAAAGAGAAGGAUAUGGAAAAUGAUACCUUGCCGGAGCUCGAAACAUUGAUCAUACUUUUCUCAUACAGAGGCAUGAAAGGAGAAGUGAAGAAGCUGCAUUUAAUUGAGGAUCUGACCUGAGAAAGAGGAAUCAUCAACAAAUAAGCUUGGUUAAGACAACUUCCUUCCACAGUUCUUUUUCUUUUUCGCUGAAACCUAAAUGGUUUCAUAGCAUUUGUAAGUAUACCUAUUUUGUUCAAAGAGAAAGCUCCAUUUAUUGUACCAAGACUUGGAAAUUUUCACUUUGUUCGAAUUAAAAUAUAUCGCAGUCUAAGAAGCUUGUCUCAUGUUGGGAUUCUAAUGGAGGACCUAAUCCAUGUAGCACCUUCAAAGUGCUAUCCAUGCAAGGAUAGCAUUUUGAUUUUUGAAGCUUCACCAAAACAACAAUGGAACAAAAUGUAGUGGGAGAUUGAUUAAGCACUCCACAGGAAAAAAUAAUUCUUAUGGAGUAAGAAUUUACUCCUUGACAGAAACCCUAAUGUUAGUUUAUGUCUGAGGUUUCACCUGGAUGACUAGUGAGAUCUCCUAUCAGAAAAGUUUCCAGUACUCUUUAAUCUGCAAGUAUGGCAUUGAUAUCCAACUAAUGACCUAUUGAUGAAUGUUUUACUUUGAAGAAAUUCUUCUGGACUAGGUGAUUCAAUGUAUUGGGAACUGAAUCAUCAGUUGAAAUAUCAGAAACUACAUUAGGGUACAAUUGAAGCACCCUAGAUGAGAAGCAUCAAUAUUACUAAGGAUAAGCCAUUAAAGAUGAGUAAUUUGGCCUUGAAGUUUGGAUUACUCUAUUGGAUAGAGAGUCCAAGUGAGAAGGAACAUAGUGGAGGGUUUGGAUUGUCUUAAUGUAUUCAAGGAAGAAGGUGCAAAGCAGAGGGAUUAUUGCCUUGAAUUUGUUUUAUUUAAAGGUCGGUUAUUGGUCUUUGUAGUAGGGCUUUUUGAAUCUUAAUUAAUUGGACUGUUCUUUA